CAAAUUAGAGCUUGGUGUAAGCAUUUUAUUUACAUUAAAAGGAGAGUUGUGAAAUUCAAUUUAAUUUGA